rnacentral:rRNA from 1 species
UACGUAGGGUGCGAGCGUUAAUCGGAAUUACUGGGCGUAAAGCGUGCGCAGGCGGUUUUGUAAGCCAGAGGUGAAAUCCCCGGGCUCAACCUGGGAACUGCCUUUGUGACUGCAAGGCUUGAGUGCGGCAGAGGGGGAUGGAAUUCCGCGUGUAGCAGUGAAAUGCGUAGAUAUGCGGAGGAACACCGAUGGCGAAGGCAAUCCCCUGGGCCUGCACUGACGCUCAUGCACGAAAGCGUGGGGAGCAAACAGG